rnacentral:rRNA from 1 species
UUAAGCGACUAAGCGUACACGGUGGAUGCCCUGGCAGUCAGAGGCGAUGAAGGACGUGCUAAUCUGCGAUAAGCGUCGGUAAGGUGAUAUGAACCGUUAUAACCGGCGAUUUCCGAAUGGGGAAACCCAGUGUGAUUCGUCACACUAUCAUUAACUGAAUCCAUAGGUUAAUGAGGCGAACCGGGGGAACUGAAACAUCUAAGUACCCCGAGGAAAAGAAAUCAACCGAGAUUCCCCCAGUAGCGGCGAGCGAACGGGGAGGAGCCCAGAGCCUGAAUCAGUGUGUGUGUUAGUGGAAGCGUCUGGAAAGGCGCGCGAUACAGGGUGACAGCCCCGUACACAAAAAUGCACAUACUGUGAGCUCGAUGAGUAGGGCGGGACACGUGGUAUCCUGUCUGAAUAUGGGGGGACCAUCCUCCAAGGCUAAAUACUCCUGACUGACCGAUAGUGAACCAGUACCGUGAGGGAAAGGCGAAAAGAACCCCGGCGAGGGGAGUGAAAAAGAACCUGAAACCGUGUACGUACAAGCAGUGGGAGCCUCUUUUAUUGUGUGACUGCGUACCUUUUGUAUAAUGGGUCAGCGACUUAUAUUCUGUAGCAAGGUUAACCGAAUAGGGGAGCCGAAGGGAAACCGAGUCUUAACCGGGCGUUAAGUUGCAGGGUAUAGACCCGAAACCCGGUGAUCUAGCCAUGGGCAGGUUGAAGGUUGGGUAACACUAACUGGAGGACCGAACCGACUAAUGUUGAAAAAUUAGCGGAUGACUUGUGGCUGGGGGUGAAAGGCCAAUCAAACCGGGAGAUAGCUGGUUCUCCCCGAAAGCUAUUUAGGUAGCGCCUCGUGAAUUCAUCUCCGGGGGUAGAGCACUGUUUCGGCAAGGGGGUCAUCCCGACUUACCAACCCGAUGCAAACUGCGAAUACCGGAGAAUGUUAUCACGGGAGACACACGGCGGGUGCUAACGUCCGUCGUGAAGAGGGAAACAACCCAGACCGCCAGCUAAGGUCCCAAAGUCAUGGUUAAGUGGGAAACGAUGUGGGAAGGCCCAGACAGCCAGGAUGUUGGCUUAGAAGCAGCCAUCAUUUAAAGAAAGCGUAAUAGCUCACUGGUCGAGUCGGCCUGCGCGGAAGAUGUAACGGGGCUAAACCAUGCACCGAAGCUGCGGCAGCGACACUGUGUGUUGUUGGGUAGGGGAGCGUUCUGUAAGCCUGUGAAGGUGUACUGUGAGGUAUGCUGGAGGUAUCAGAAGUGCGAAUGCUGACAUAAGUAACGAUAAAGCGGGUGAAAAGCCCGCUCGCCGGAAGACCAAGGGUUCCUGUCCAACGUUAAUCGGGGCAGGGUGAGUCGACCCCUAAGGCGAGGCCGAAAGGCGUAGUCGAUGGGAAACAGGUUAAUAUUCCUGUACUUGGUGUUACUGCGAAGGGGGGACGGAGAAGGCUAUGUUGGCCGGGCGACGGUUGUCCCGGUUUAAGCGUGUAGGCUGGUUUUCCAGGCAAAUCCGGAAAAUCAAGGCUGAGGCGUGAUGACGAGGCACUACGGUGCUGAAGCAACAAAUGCCCUGCUUCCAGGAAAAGCCUCUAAGCAUCAGGUAACAUCAAAUCGUACCCCAAACCGACACAGGUGGUCAGGUAGAGAAUACCAAGGCGCUUGAGAGAACUCGGGUGAAGGAACUAGGCAAAAUGGUGCCGUAACUUCGGGAGAAGGCACGCUGAUAUGUAGGUGAAGUCCCUCGCGGAUGGAGCUGAAAUCAGUCGAAGAUACCAGCUGGCUGCAACUGUUUAUUAAAAACACAGCACUGUGCAAACACGAAAGUGGACGUAUACGGUGUGACGCCUGCCCGGUGCCGGAAGGUUAAUUGAUGGGGUCAGCGCAAGCGAAGCUCUUGAUCGAAGCCCCGGUAAACGGCGGCCGUAACUAUAACGGUCCUAAGGUAGCGAAAUUCCUUGUCGGGUGAGUUCCGACCUGCACGAAUGGCGUAAUGAUGGCCAGGCUGUCUCCACCCGAGACUCAGUGAAAUUGAACUCGCUGUGAAGAUGCAGUGUACCCGCGGCAAGACGGAAAGACCCCGUGAACCUUUACUAUAGCUUGACACUGAACAUUGAGCCUUGAUGUGUAGGAUAGGUGGGAGGCUUUGAAGUGUGGACGCCAGUCUGCAUGGAGCCGACCUUGAAAUACCACCCUUUAAUGUUUGAUGUUCUAACGUGGACCCGUGAUCCGGGUUGCGGACAGUGUCUGGUGGGUAGUUUGACUGGGGCGGUCUCCUCCUAAAGAGUAACGGAGGAGCACGAAGGUUGGCUAAUCCUGGUCGGACAUCAGGAGGUUAGUGCAAUGGCAUAAGCCAGCUUGACUGCGAGCGUGACGGCGCGAGCAGGUGCGAAAGCAGGUCAUAGUGAUCCGGUGGUUCUGAAUGGAAGGGCCAUCGCUCAACGGAUAAAAGGUACUCCGGGGAUAACAGGCUGAUACCGCCCAAGAGUUCAUAUCGACGGCGGUGUUUGGCACCUCGAUGUCGGCUCAUCACAUCCUGGGGCUGAAGUAGGUCCCAAGGGUAUGGCUGUUCGCCAUUUAAAGUGGUACGCGAGCUGGGUUUAGAACGUCGUGAGACAGUUCGGUCCCUAUCUGCCGUGGGCGCUGGAGAACUGAGGGGGGCUGCUCCUAGUACGAGAGGACCGGAGUGGACGCAUCACUGGUGUUCGGGUUGUCAUGCCAAUGGCACUGCCCGGUAGCUAAAUGCGGAAGAGAUAAGUGCUGAAAGCAUCUAAGCACGAAACUUGCCCCGAGAUGAGUUCUCCCUGACCCUUUAAGGGUCCUGAAGGAACGUUGAAGACGACGACGUUGAUAGGCCGGGUGUGUAAGCGCAGCGAUGCGUUGAGCUAACCGGUACUAAUGAACCGUGAGGCUUAACCUU